GGUUACUGCUAUCGGUGUUCGCCUAAGCCAUGCGAGUCAUAUGUUCGUAAGAACAUGGCGUACUGCUCAGUAACACGUGGAUAACCUGCCCUUGGGUCCGGCAUAACCCCGGGAAACUGGGGAUAAUCCCGGAUAACGCACAUAUGCUGGAAUGCUUUUUGCGUAAAAUGGAUUCGUCUGCCCAAGGAUGGGUCUGCGGCCUAUCAGGUAGUAGUGGGUGUAAUGUACCUACUAGCCUACGACGGGUACGGGUUGUGAGAGCAAGAGCCCGGAGAUGGAUUCUGAGACAUGAAUCCAGGCCCUACGGGGCGCAGCAGGCGCGAAAACUUUACAAUGCGGGAAACCGUGAUAAGGGGACACCGAGUGCCAGCAUCCUAUGCUGGCUGUCCGGGUGUGUAAAAUACACCUGUUAGCAAGGGCCGGGCAAGACCGGUGCCAGCCGCCGCGGUAACACCGGCGGCCCGAGUGGUGAUCGUGAUUAUUGGGUCUAAAGGGUCCGUAGCCGGUUUGGUCAGUCCUCCGGGAAAUCUGACAGCUUAACUGUUAGGCUUUCGGAGGAUACUGCCAGACUUGGAACCGGGAGAGGUAAGAGGUACUACAGGGGUAGGAGUGAAAUCUUGUAAUCCCUGUGGGACCACCUGUGGCGAAGGCGUCUUACCAGAACGGGUUCGACGGUGAGGGACGAAAGCUGGGGGCACGAACCGGAUUAGAUACCCGGGUAGUCCCAGCCGUAAACGAUGCUCGCUAGGUGUCAGGCAUGGCGCGACCGUGUCUGGUGCCGCAGGGAAGCCGUGAAGCGAGCCACCUGGGAAGUACGGCCGCAAGGCUGAAACUUAA
rnacentral:rRNA from 1 species